CCUGCCCACCCACUGCCACACAAAGCCUGAGAGCUGCGGAGCUCUCCUGGGAAUGUAUGGUCAAUACCUCAGGAAGGACACUUACUGCCUGCCUCCCAGCUCAUGGAAUGCUGUCACACGUGUCACAUGCAUGAAUCUUCUAUGUCUACUGGGUCUAAUAGUCUGUACAUGCAAACAACCAUGACUCAUAUACAACUUGGUUAAUGCUACUGAGCGAGAUGAUUUUUUAAAUUCUGUUUCUCUCUUAACAUUUGAAAAAACAUUCCAGAAACUAUCUCAUCUGACAGAUACCAAGACUUAUAUUUUGUGAGAAGUCUACUGAUGUGCAUGCAGCAAUGCAAUCAGGAACUGUGGAUCAAGUGGUUCCAUGGUGUGGGCUACCCUCCUCAGCUGGAUUCCCUGGAUGUCUGCAAAGGAUAUCCUGUAUCUUCUUCUGCAUCACAUCACAGCUUUUGCACAAGGACUGCAAAUGGUGUCCACUGACUGGAGCCAACAGGCUGGUGGGCUGAAACACUUUUUGCUGCAGAGAAGAGAUUAAACUUGGACUCCAUUAAGAGACUGUAGUUGGAAGGUAUAACUUUGGGCUGAAUGGCUUUAAGGAGUUUACAGGAGACCUUGUGGUAAUGAUAAAACUGAUGUAGUCAUUUCUAUUCUAAGCUUUAAAACUGGAGGCAUGUAAACAGAUAUUAUAUCAAGAAGAAGACAAAAUUAAUCUGUAGCUAUUGAUUAAAGUUUCUGCAGACAUGAAAAGAAACAUAAAAGUAAAUAAAUGUUUUUUUAUUAAACCUUUGUCCUGUUAAAUGACAGGAAUCUACAUUCAACUAGCAUAGUGUGAUUUACUCUUAUGGUAACAAGAAAACUUGAGGCAGAAAC